rnacentral:rRNA from 1 species
UUCCGGUUGAUCCUGCCGGAGGCGACCGCUAUUGGAGUUCGAUUAAGCCAUGCGAGUAGAAAGAAAUUAGAUUCUUUGCAUACUGCUCAGUAACACGUGGAUAACCUGCCCUACACUGGGGGAUAAUCUCGGGAAACUGAGCAUAAUACCCCAUAGACCACUACGCCUGGAACGGUGAGUGGUUGAAAGCUCAGGCGGUGUAGGAUGGGUCUGCGGCGUAUCAGGUCGUAGGGGGUGUAAUGGACCUCCUAGCCAUCGACGCGUACGGGUUGUGGGAGCAAUAGCCCGGAGACGGAUUCUGAGACACGAAUCCGGACCCUACGGGGUGCAGCAGGCGCGAAAACUUCACACUGCAGGAAACUGUGAUGAGGGAACUCCAAGUGACUGCCCAAUGGGUAGCCUUCUCUUGAAUCUUAAUAGUUCUUGGAAUAAGGGCUGGGAAAGACCGGUGCCAGCCGCCGCGGUAAUACCGGCAGCUCAAGUGGUCGUCGCUUUUAUUGGGCCUAAAACGUCCGUAGCCUGUUUGGUAAAUCUGUGGGUAAAUCAACGAGCUUAACUCGUUGAAUUCUGCAGAGACUGCCAGACUAGGGACCGGGAGAGGUAUGAGGUACUCUGGGGGUAGGGGUAAAAUCCUGUCAUCCUCAGAGGACCACCUGUUGCGAAGGCGUCAUACUGGAACGGAUCCGACGGUCAGGGACGAAGCCUAGGGGCACGAACCGGAUUAGAUACCCGGGUAGUCCUAGGUGUAAACGCUGUGGAUUUGGUGUGUGGGGUCCGCAAUGGGCCCCAUGUGCCGGAGUGAAGAUGUUAAAUCCACUGCCUGGGGAGUACGGUCGCAAGGCUGAAACUUAAAGGAAUUGGCGGGGGAGCACUGCAACGGGAGGAGCGUGCGGUUUAAUUGGAUUCAACGCCGGA